GCGUUGAUAGCUCAGUGGCAGAACAGUGGGACGGUACCCCACCCACAUCGGCCCCGGGUUCGAUUCCCAGUCGACGCC